rnacentral:rRNA from 1 species
UACGGAGGGUGCGAGCGUUGUCCGGAAUCACUGGGCGUAAAGGGCGCGUAGGCGGCUCAUGACGUCUGUGGUGAAAGUCCGGGGCUCAACCUCGGAUCGGCCGUGGCGACUCGUGGGCUGGAGCACUGUAGAGGCGGGUGGAAUUCCGGGUGUAGCGGUGGAAUGCGUAGAGAUCCGGAAGAACACCAGUGGCGAAGGCGGCCCGCUGGGCAGUGGCUGACGCUGAAGCGCGACAGCGUGGGGAGCAAACAGG